AUGCUUUUGUAGUUCAUGGGCAUGACCAUCGAGUGUUUACAUGCAUGUGUGAGAUAUGACACCUUCUGAACCUUGUUACGGAGUUGGCAAGUUACCCAUCUAACC
rfam:Pan troglodytes isolate Yerkes chimp pedigree #C0471 (Clint) chromosome 10, whole genome shotgun sequence.